rnacentral:rRNA from 1 species
AGAGUUUGAUCCUGGCUCAGGACGAACGCUGGCGGCGUGCUUAACACAUGCAAGUCGAACGAUGAUGCCCAGCUUGCUGGGCGGAUUAGUGGCGAACGGGUGAGUAAUACGUGAGUAACCUGCCCUUGACUCUGGGAUAAGCCUGGGAAACUGGGUCUAAUACUGGAUACUACCUCUUACCGCAUGGUGGGUGGUGGAAAGGGUUUUACUGGUUUUGGAUGGGCUCACGGCCUAUCAGCUUGUUGGUGGGGUAAUGGCUCACCAAGGCGACGACGGGUAGCCGGCCUGAGAGGGUGACCGGCCACACUGGGACUGAGACACGGCCCAGACUCCUACGGGAGGCAGCAGUGGGGAAUAUUGCACAAUGGGCGGAAGCCUGAUGCAGCGACGCCGCGUGAGGGAUGACGGCCUUCGGGUUGUAAACCUCUUUCAGUAGGGAAGAAGCGAGAGUGACGGUACCUGCAGAAGAAGCGCCGGCUAACUACGUGCCAGCAGCCGCGGUAAUACGUAGGGCGCAAGCGUUGUCCGGAAUUAUUGGGCGUAAAGAGCUCGUAGGCGGUUUGUCGCGUCUGCUGUGAAAGCCCGGGGCUCAACCCCGGGUCUGCAGUGGGUACGGGCAGACUAGAGUGCAGUAGGGGAGACCGGAAUUCCUGGUGUAGCGGUGAAAUGCGCAGAUAUCAGGAGGAACACCGAUGGCGAAGGCAGGUCUCUGGGCUGUUACUGACGCUGAGGAGCGAAAGCAUGGGGAGCGAACAGGAUCAGGUACCCUGGUAGUCCAUGCCGUAAACGUUGGGCACUAGGUGUGGGGGACAUUCCACGUUUUCCGCGCCGUAGCUAACGCAUUAAGUGCCCCGCCUGGGGAGUACGGCCGCAAGGCUAAAACUCAAAGGAAUUGACGGGGGCCCGCACAAGCGGCGGAGCAUGCGGAUUAAUUCGAUGCAACGCGAAGAACCUUACCAAGGCUUGACAUUCACCGGACCGCCCCAGAGAUGGGGUUUCCCUUCGGGGCUGGUGGACAGGUGGUGCAUGGUUGUCGUCAGCUCGUGUCGUGAGAUGUUGGGUUAAGUCCCGCAACGAGCGCAACCCUCGUUCUAUGUUGCCAGCACGUGAUGGUGGGGACUCAUAGGAGACUGCCGGGGUCAACUCGGAGGAAGGUGGGGAUGACGUCAAAUCAUCAUGCCCCUUAUGUCUUGGGCUUCACGCAUGCUACAAUGGCCGGUACAAAGGGUUGCGAUACUGUGAGGUGGAGCUAAUCCCAAAAAGCCGGUCUCAGUUCGGAUUGAGGUCUGCAACUCGACCUCAUGAAGUCGGAGUCGCUAGUAAUCGCAGAUCAGCAACGCUGCGGUGAAUACGUUCCCGGGCCUUGUACACACCGCCCGUCAAGUCACGAAAGUUGGUAACACCCGAAGCCGGUGGCCUAACCCCUUGUGGGAGGGAGCCGUCGAAGGUGGGACUGGCGAUUGGGACUAAGUCGUAACAAGGUAACCA